rnacentral:rRNA from 1 species
AACGAACGCUGGCGGCAGGCUUAACACAUGCAAGUCGAACGGUUGUAGCAAUACAGCAGUGGCAGACGGGUGAGUAACACGUGGGAACCUUCCUAGGGGUACGGAACAACUCAGGGAAACUUGAGCUAAUACCGUAUACGUCCGUGAGGAGAAAGAUUUAUCGCCCUUAGACGGGCCCGCGUAGGAUUAGGUAGUUGGUGGGGUAAUGGCCUACCAAGCGUACGAUCCUUAGCUGAUCUGAGAGGANGAUCAGCCACACUGGGACUGAGACACGGCCCAGACUCCUACGGGAGGCAGCAGUGGGGAAUCUUGGACAAUGGGCGCAAGCCUGAUCCAGCCAUGCCGCGUGAGUGAUGAAGGCCUUAGGGUUGUAAAGCUCUUUCGCCCGCGACGAUGAUGACGGUAGCGGGAGAAGAAGCCCCGGCUAACUUCGUGCCAGCCGCCGCAGU